CAAAAACGCCGACAAUGUCACAUUUUCAUAUUUAAUUUAUUUCCUUUUUUUUAAAUGGUAGAUCUCAUUGCUUUUUCAUGGUUUACAUACAGCCAUUCGUAUAGAGAACAAAGAAGAUUCAAUUUUCAAUUAACUUAGAAAUGUACACACUUCUUUGUGACCACACCCAGGAGAAAAAUAUCCUUUAUUCAAAAGUAUCGUCUCUCUUUUGGGGAAAGUUUGUUUGCUUUGUUUUGUUUUUUUCUCCUGAUUGGAGAACGGGUUGGUUUCCAUCCACCUGCUUCCUCCGUAUGUUCCCUCCGUUCCUGUUUCUGUUUGUUUGGAUGAGCGGACGUGGAGGUCAGGGAACACCUGGACACACCGGCACAACGACGAGCUGAACACUAAACGACUCCGUUUCCACUCACUGUACAGAAACUCAAUGAACAUCUCACAGCGACAAACGCAAUUCAAUGGAGCGGCGCUUGUAAGGCUACAAAAAUAAAACAAAAAAAACAUUUUGAAUAAAUCAACAGCAAUAAUUUGGUCUAUUUAGCCUGACAGAGAGAAAACAAAAUAUGUGUGUGGGUCAUAUUUUCACUUUUUUAUUCCAAAAUUUAUGAACGCCAGAGUUCCAACUAAGAAACAAAGUAUUUAAUUCACAAGCUAAAUAGUGAGUUUACACACAGCGGGGCUUAUAAAACCCAGCUUUUAUACUCAACUUCUGCUUGUCGGCAAGCUAAUUUGCACGUUAGAUAAAUACUUAGCCUUAAACACUCAGCUGAAGCUAAAUAUUUAGCUAGCAAUUUAAAUAUUUAGUGUGGCAAAUACAUAUUAAGUUUGAAAAUUAAAAGCUUAGUUUGUAAAUGAAAUAUUUAAAUUGGACCUAAAUAUUUUGAUACAAGUUAAGUAUUUAGCUAGCAACUUGCAAGCAAGGUAAAUAUUCAGUUUGAAAAUUAAGUGUUUAGUUUGGAAAAUAUUUAAUUUGGAGCCAAAUAUUUAGUAAAUCUUUGGCUUCAAAUGAAAUAUUCACUUGGGAACUAAAUAUUUUUGCAAGCUAAAUAUUUAGCAUCCUAACUAAAUAUUUAAAAUUUUGCUAAAUAUUUAGAUGUCUUGCUAAAUAUUUAACUUGUAUCUAUGUAUUUAGGUCCAAAUUUAUAAAUGAGUGAAUGACGUGGUGAAAAUAUGACUUUAAAAAAUGAACAUCAUGUCUUUAUGACAGGCUAAAUAAACUAAAUUAGUGCUGUUGUGCAACUUUCCUGCCACCCGUUAAGUGUCAAUAAAAAAGACUCCAAAAUGUGACCAAAACACCAGCGAUGAUAUAAAAAAAAAUGAAAAAAAGACAUAAAUUAUGUAAAAUUACAGUCAGUGCAUGGGAACAAAACAAUAGAAAUUCCUUUCUUCAUUUCAUUUGAACAAGUUCACCUCAUUGUUUUAGCAUAAAGAGCAGCAAAAAAAAAGACAAUCCGAGAGCUUCGAAAAGCUGUUGCUCCAGCUCUGUAAACAGCAUUUAGUCAGAGAAAGAGCCGACGGGUCAAUUUGGCAAACCGGUGGAAGGGAUGGAGGGAGGAUUAGACCUGGCAGGCGCCCCUGCUAGUCGAUUGGCCGCGAACAGAACUCUGGCCUGAGGACAUGGGACCGGGUGGCAGCGCUGCACCGAGCGCCAGGCUUCUGCCAAAGCUGGACUGCUAAUGCUGGUGUGUGUGUGUGUGUGUGUGAGUGCGCGUUUGUUUAUAAUACCUUUUGAGGACCAUUUUUCCUGACACAUACAACGUUGUGGGGACCCACUGCUCCUUGUGGGGACCGAAGCCUGGUCCCCACAAGGUACACGGUGUUUUUGAGUCUGGGGUCAGAUGAAAGACUACGGUGUGAAUUGAGUUUUGGAUAGGGUUAGGGUUAGGUAUAUAAUGGUUAGGGUUAGGUAUAUAAUGGCUAGGGUUAGGUAUAUAAUGGCUAGGGUUAGGUAUAUAAUGGCUAGGGUUAGGUAUAUAAUGGUUAGGGUUAGGUAUAUAAUGGUUAGGGUUAGGUAUAUAAUGGUUAGGGUUAGGAUAAUGCUAAGGUUUAAGCUGUAGAAAUGAAUGGGAGUCAAUGGAAAGUCCCCACAACGAUACCCAUGCAAACGUGUGUGUGUGAGUGUGUGGGCGUGUGUGGGGGUGGGUGGGUGUAUGAGUGCAUCUUCUCAGUUCAAAAUGGACGUGAAGUGCAGUUAAUGUUUACGUUGAGUACACAAAGCGACAUGCAAAGUGCCUUGUAGGGGUCACGGGUUCAAAACGGAUCAGGCGUGUGGGUGCGGCGACGCAAACAGAAAAUCCCCACGCAGCUCCGUAGCAGUGAACGUUGUUUUACAAGGCAAACACACAACUGCUAACUUAGUGCAUCACAAAAAACACAUUUUGAUUAUUUGAUUAAUUUAAAUGUUCUCAUAUUACAUUAUUUAAGCAAAAAAUUCAAGAAAGGACUGAUUGUGACUGGAAACGGUGGGCAUAAAAUGGGAAUGUACCACCGGGUAUAGGGGUGCUGCGCUAGAGGGGGCGCCAAACGACAGAGUAAAAAUAAUUUCUGGUCAGCAUUUUCAGUAUUUGACAGCUAUUUUUGCAUGAUGUGAUUUAGAACAGAGGCACGCCUGCAGUGUGUCAGAAAGCAGAAAGUUCGCCCCGGACACCAGCACAGGAGGAAACUAAUCAUUUCAAACAAACAUGUGCCAUUGCACAUGUUUGCUUUUCCUUUAGUUAGCCAUUUCUUGAUUAAAGAAGACAAACAGUUACAUAAAAUGCCCAAAUCUCUACAAUUUAACCUACUAUUAUAUUGUUUCCUGGAAACAUGAUAAUAUUUUUUAUUUAUUUUAUCCUCUGAUCAGUUUGGACUCUUUAUGCCAAAUUCCGACUCCUGAUCAAAUCAAAAAUAACGGAGAGAUCCUGACAUGUUGGAGUUGUAAAAACACAUGUAUUAAAUAAAUUAUAGGCACAUCUUCCAAAAUUAGCUAAAUCUGUCUGAUUGGUCAGAAUGAAACGCUGGGCGGCUCCGUUACCUGGAAACAAAACAGCGAAGGCACCAAAUGACCAGAACCGCCGCAGGCUUGUUUACAUGCUGCAUCAAGCCUUAAUGGGUCAAAACCAGUAUCAACAUGGAAACCAGUAGUUACCAGUCAGUGAAUCAUUUCUAACUUGGGUUCAAGGAAAGCUCAUUGGCUGCUUAGGUUAAGAACAAGAAAACAUUAAAGAGGACAAAAACCAAAGAAAAUAAAUUAGAACCCUGUUUAAGAUACAUAAUGUGCACCGAGUAGCUCUUUUAUAAAACUCAAAACACACACACACACACACACACACACCUUCAUAUAUAAAUACAUGUAUGUAUGUAUAAAGACAACAAAAACAAAACCACCUCCUUCCAUUAAGGUGCAACACAUGAUUUUGCAGGCAGUUGAGUUGUUAAUAUGGAAAACAAAACAACAACAAAAUAAAACAGGUAAAGAUUACCGUGAUAUUUUUAUAGAUCUGGAAGGAAAUGAGGACAAAAAAAAGAAGCGACUUUAUAACAGACACAGAUCACAGAUGAGAGCAAUGUUAUCAGUAUCCUGGAUUAUUUAUUAAUAAUAAUAAUAUUAAAAAUGCACCAAAACUGCAAGUUUUUUGUGUGUGCCAAACAAGUGGAAGCCUUCACAGUAAUCAGUGAGGGCACAAACCAAGUGCCUAGUAGUCAGAGUUAUAAAACAUUAUAAUAUAUAUUUUUUGCAAUAUCUUUUUUUUUUUUUGUCUUGCUUUAUAUGCUGGGUUCAUUUUUAAGUAUAUAUCUGUCACCAAGAAAUCAAAAGACAUUCUGAAGCAGACAAGAGCCAUGGAAAAACUCCGAGUGGUGAUGAAAGCCAGUAGAGAACAGCUUGAUCUGAGCGACGGCGUGAACAAGACGGAAACGGAAACGAGCCGCUAAAAACAGAGCCGAGGGACCCCGACCUCACACAACCCCCUGGAGAGACAUUAGAGACAGAGCUGCCAAGUAGAUGGACUUACAAAAUAUAGUACAAAAAAAAUAAUGGAAUUUGGGGGGUGGGAGACCAAACAUUCCCUGUCAAUUUACACAAAAAAAUUAUUUUAUAAAUAUAAAAAAGAAGAAGAAAAAGACCCAGAAAAAAAACCCCUUUAUUUGAGCAAACUCAAAAUGCACAUGUGCAAAUCAAAACCAAAACAGGCAGAGACUGCAAACAUAGGAAGUGUGGCGUUUGAGCGGAAAAUCCCUCCUUCUUCCUCCGUUUCUGACUGCAGGGAACUCAAAACUCUCCCCGAACUAAAACUGUUUCCUUUUCCUUUUUUUCUCACAGUCCGUCAGUCAGACCGGUCCCCCUCCCCUCCGGCUUCAGACGGGAACCGAUCCGCGGCCGGGCCAGGUACUGGCGGCCGGUUCCGCCCACUUGCCUUCUCAGGCACAUAUGUGUCACUGUUUGUCUUUCUGCCGUGUCACUCUGACUUUCAUCAA